rnacentral:snRNA from 1 species
UUGUUUUAGACCAAGUGUCGUUA